UACGUAGGUGGCAAGCGUUGUCCGGAUUUACUGGGCGUAAAGCGUGCGCAGGCGGAUGGUUAAGUAAGAAGUGAAAGGCGGGAGCUCAACUCCCGGACUGCUUCUUAUACUGGCCGUCUUGAAUGUCGGAGAGGAAAGCGGAACGACACGUGUAGCGGUGAAAUGCGUUGAGAUGUGUCGGAACACCAAUGGCGAAAGCAGCUUUCUGGACGAAUAUUGACGCUCAUGCACGAAAGCCAAGGUAGCAAACAGG
rnacentral:rRNA from 1 species